CUACGGGAUGCUGCAGUGAGGAAUAUUGCACAAUGGGGGGAACCCUGAUGCAGCAACGCCGCGUGGAGGAUGACGCAUUUCGGUGUGUAAACUCCUUUUAUAUGUCAAGAAAAUGACGGUAGCAUAUGAAUAAGCACCGGCUAACUCCGUGCCAGCAGCCGCGGUAAUACGGAGGGUGCAAGCGUUACGCGGAAUCACUGGGCGUAAAGGACGCGUAGGCGGGUUGGAAAGUCAGGUGUGAAAGCCUACAGCUUAACUGUAGAACUGCACUUGAAACUUCUAAUCUAGAGUAUGGGAGGGGGAGAUGGAAUUAGUGGUGUAGGGGUAAAAUCCGUAGAUAUCACUAGGAAUACCUAAAGCGAAGGCGAUCUCCUGGAACAUUACUGACGCUAAGGCGUGAAAGCGUGGGGAGCAAACAGGAUUAGAUACCCGCGUAGUC
rnacentral:rRNA from 1 species